CUGUAAUUACACUGAGAGUUAUAUUGAGGAUGGUUCUGUUGUGCUUUAUCAAGGUGCCUGAGGCCUAGAUGAAGAGAUUGGCAUGGAGUGCCUUGACUUGGCCCUUCACUUGUGCCGAGCCCUGGCUGCAAGUUCAGGGACUCUCCGCCCUCCACCUUCCCACCCAGCCUGUCCUGCUGUCCCUGGGCCACCCCAGGAUCCUGACUACUGCAGCGUCAUCCCAGGCUUGGUGUCUGCUGAAGCCUUCCUGUUUCCACAGACACCUCCUGUCUGUGUGUGAUGUUUUGAUCUGCC
ensembl:lncRNA